rnacentral:lncRNA from 1 species
UAGAUAUACGUACACCUUCGUGUCUCCAUACCAAAGGUCCAGGGAGGAGAAUUUUCUUUUCGUCGUUUCUUAAACAUAUACUCUUGUUAUCUCGUAGUAGGAUGCAUAUUUUUGGUCUCCAUGGAUAGCACGUAGUUGCUUUUCGAAGGCAAGUUAAAAUCGAAAUAUUUUCAUAAAGGAGUGUUGGUGAACUUGUGAAUUGCUAGAGUAUAUGUUUAAAUAUUAAUUACCUACCAUACGUUUAAAUAUUUGUUCCUCCUCCCAUCAAAUUUUGAGCUGCUCCAGUAAAAAAGAGUAAAUAUAUGGAGGCACGUUUAAGUCU